CGAGGAACACAUAUUUCCUCGGAAUUUCAUCGGACUAUUCCGACGGAUUGAUAUUUCCUCGGUAUAUUCCGUCGAAACCAAAUUUUGUGUUUCCUUCCGAGGGAUAUUCCGAUGAUUUUAUUUUCCGUCGGAAUGUCCGUCAGAAUAUCGCUGUUUUCUUGUAGUGAAGUUGUUGCAUUGUAUCUUGUUAACCAAUUUACCAUAUCCAAAACUUAGGGUUUCUUCAACUUCACUUCACGGAGGCCGCAACAUCUGUUGCAACUAUUGGAGCUAGGUUACAAUGUUAUGUACAACGAUGUUGAUAUGGUCUGGUUGCAAGAUCCAUUUCAGUAUUUAGAAGGAAGCCAUGAUGCAUACUUCACUGAUGACAGGACUACAGUAUGUGAAAUUCAGUUCAAACUUGUCGUUUAGAAUGUUUUUAAUUAAAUCUUAUUCUCUGAUUGAUUUUGGUGCCAGAUCAAGCCUUUGAAUCAUUCUCAUGCUUUGCCAACUCCGGAUCGAAACGGAGUGACUUAUAUAUGUAGCUGCAUGAUUUUCUUGCGUCCCACGAAUGGCGCAAAGCUUCUAAUGAAGCAAUGGAUCAAAGAACUUCAAUCUGGGUCUAAAGCUUAUGAAGGAAAUGAUCAGCCUGCUUUUAACUGGGCACUUAACAAAACAGCUCAUCAGGUAGAUCUCUACUUGCUUUCUCAGGCAGCUUUCCCAACAGGAGGAUUGUACUUCAAGAACGAGACAUGGGUUGAAGAGACAACGGGUAAACAUGUCAUAGUCCACAACAACUACAUUAUCGGUUACGAGAAUAAGAUGAAACGCUUCCAAGACUUUGGUCUAUGGCUAGUCGAUGAUCAUGCUCUUGAGUCCCCACUGGGAAAAUUAGAUUAAAUAAGAACAUGGCUUGUUAUGUGUGAAUGUUAGUGUAUAUGGCUAAUUCAAAACAGAGGUAAAUAAAUGAGACUCGAGAUGUAUGUCUCCACAUUACUAGAAUACUGUGAUAGGUCUCUCUAGAGACAUAAGAUCAGUGUUCCCUUGUAUCUAUCAUCUACCUCUUUAGUCUUCACCGACUCUUGCUUCCUGAUUAUUAUGUAUAUUGAUUCGUUACAACAAGUUAAAACUAUACCAGAAACAUCACACAGAAAAAAAAAAGGGAUUCACAAUCUAUAUAAAACAUAUUAUUUGGUAAUUUUCAUACUAAUGAAUAGAAUUGAUGUGAAAUAGAUCCGUAAGAGCAUAAAAAGAAACGUGUACCCUUUUGUUUUCCUCACUAAUUACGUGAAGUCUUUUAAGACGUAAAUUGAAAUGCUAACUUUUCAAACUCACAAUAAUUUUUUUUUUGAAAACAUAUAUACAAAGUAGAAUAUGUACAUAUCUUGAGAAUCAGAUCCUUUCCAUUGUCAUGUAUUUGGGGAAAAUGAAAUGGAAAUAGAUAAGGAUUUGUGAGGCCAAGCUGAAUUUUGUGAGGCCAAGAUGACUUACCUUAGUUAUAGUCAUCUAUAAAGUCCAACAACGUCAAGUAGGAAAGAUUUGUGAGGCCAAGCUGAAUUUUAGGCUCAUCCAUUGGGAAGCCCAAAACACUGUUGAUCGAGGAACAGGUACGAUCUGGCUCAAUGAAUGUCUCGUGCUACACCAACCUUAGACAAACAAAGAAAAAGAGAAUUCGGUAUCAAUUUCAUAUGUAAACGUAUCUGUGGAGGAUGCGAGACAUGUUGUUGGACCUGGAGAUGCUGUGAGCAUGAUGUUGCGAAUGAUGGUGAUGGAGUGAGUUCCGAAAUUCAAUGAACACUUGGUAGGAUCUACACUGUUCCUGAUGGCCUUGACGAAGAUGAAUGAUCUCAUGGGAGAGAAAAUAGAGCCAAACUAAUGCACCAGAGACUUGUACUUUAGGUAUAGAGUAGAACUUCGUAGCCCGUGCUGUAAUAAAAAAAAAUUGGAAGACUGUUCUUCAUCAAGGCAAAUACUUAUAGCCAUUUGUCUGAGAAGAAACUUAUGAAUCUUUCUAGUACAAGUCUUUGGAAGCUCCUCCUGAACCAUAUACUUUGGUCAUUUCCGUCAUUCUUUCAAGGAUUGUAAAGUUAACUUGUUUGAUCAUGCAGGAGAAGGAGUUUCUCAUGAAUUGCAAAGCCAUAUCAUAUCGAGAAAGAUAGUGAUUUUACGGUUUGAUAGCACUAGCAGAGCACAUGUUUGAUCUCCAAUUUCUAAUCUAUGCAAUAAUGAUUUCAGUGGUCAGCCUAGAUAAGUACCAGCCAAGAAGUGCCUUCAUAUUGGAAUAUAUAAGCAUUGUUUUUUUUUUUGAAACACAACUUAUAUUAAUGCAAGAAAAAAUUAGGUGUCUGCCAUAAAGGCUUCACCCUCAACCAGACACAUUUUUGCUAGCUUAUCAGCAGCAUUGUUCUGUACUCUCGAGAUCCAAGAGCAAGAAAACUCAUCAAGUGAUCUACAAAAGAAGGUAUAUAAGCAUUGUUUAUAAAAGGUUUUAUAUGGUUGAAAAUUGAAGAAGACCAGCAAACACAAGUUUCUCAUGUUUUCUUUCCCGAAUGGAUGAAUGAAUGGCUGUGCCCAUGGCAUGAGAGAGGCUUUCAGCAAUGCAAAGACUUUUUGAGUAGUGAUGAAGAGCAAUGGAAAGAUGCUGAUUACAACUGUUCUGAAUCGUUGGUCCAGUUGAGGAGAGUGAUAAGAUAUUCUGCCACUAACUGUCAUUUUUUACUUACACAUUGCUUACGUAGUUUCAUGUAUGGGACUCUUACGUUAGUGAGUAUGAUUGGCAGGAAAUCUGCAGCUGUUCAUGCAUAUGCUAAGUUAAAUCGUUUUAUAAUCUAUAUGUAUGCAAAAUAAACAAGAUAAUUUUUGUAAA